AAAUUGAAGAGUUUGAUCAUGGCUCAGAUUGAACGCUGGCGGCAGGCCUAACACAUGCAAGUCGAACGGUAACAGGAAGCAGCUUGCUGCUUCGCUGACGAGUGGCGGACGGGUGAGUAAUGUCUGGGAAACUGCCUGAUGGAGGGGGAUAACUACUGGAAACGGUGGCUAAUACCGCAUAACGUCGCAAGACCAAAGAGGGGGACCUUCGGGCCUCUUGCCAUCAGAUGUGCCCAGAUGGGAUUAGCUAGUUGGUGAGGUAACGGCUCACCAAGGCGACGAUCCUUAGCUGGUCUGAGAGGAUGACCAGCCACACUGGAACUGAGACACGGUCCAGACUCCUACGGGAGGCAGCAGUGGGGAAUAUUGCACAAUGGGCGCAAGCCUGAUGCAGCCAUGCCGCGUGUAUGAAGAAGGCCUUCGGGUUGUAAAGUACUUUCAGCGGGGAGGAAGGUGUUG
rnacentral:rRNA from 1 species